GACGAACGCUGGCGGCGUGCUUAACACAUGCAAGUCGAACGGAAAGGCCCUGCUUUUGUGGGGUGCUCGAGUGGCGAACGGGUGAGUAACACGUGAGUAACCUGCCCUUGACUUUGGGAUAACUUCAGGAAACUGGGGCUAAUACCGGAUAGGAGCUCCUGCUGCAUGGUGGGGGUUGGAAAGUUUCGGCGGUUGGGGAUGGACUCGCGGCUUAUCAGCUUGUUGGUGGGGUAGUGGCUUACCAAGGCUUUGACGGGUAGCCGGCCUGAGAGGGUGACCGGCGACAUGGGGACUGAGAUACGGCCCAGACUCCUACGGGAGGCAGCAGUGGGGAAUAUGGCACAAUGGGCGGAAGCCUGAUGCAGCAACGCCGCGUGCGGGAUGACGGCCUUCGGGGUGUAAACCGCUUUCGCCUGUGACGAAGCGUGAGUGACGGUAAUGGGUAAAGAAGCACCGGCUAACUACGUG
rnacentral:rRNA from 1 species